UGGUUCUCGCAUCGAUGAAGAACGCAGCGAAUUGCGAUAAGUAAUAUGAAUUGCAGAUUUUCGUGAAUCAUCGAAUCUUUGAACGCACAUUGCGCCCCUUGGUAUUCCAAGGGGCAUGCCUGUUUGAGCGUCAUUUCUCUCUCAAACCUUCGGGUUUGGUUUUGAGUGAUACUCUUAGUCAGACUAGGUGUUUGCUUGAAAAGUAUUGGCAGGAGCGGUGCAAUACAGCGCACUCGACAAUCAAUGUAUUAGGUUUAUCCAUCAUUGAAGUCUUGGAAACUGUUUGUUCAGGCCCAGCCUUACAAAAACAAACCAUGUUUGACCUCAAAUCAGGUAGGACUACCCGCUGA
rnacentral:misc_RNA from 1 species